rnacentral:lncRNA from 1 species
AGGAAUAUUCAUGAUUUAUUUUGAUUGAGUUAUUUUCUGUUAUGUAAUUAGCAAUAGGAUUGCUAUUUAUGAAAUGUGCUGAUCUAUUUGUGAAAUGAGUCAACAUAUUUGGUGAACAGAAAAUAAAAUCUUUCAAAUUUAAAAAUUAUUUUUGAAAUGCCAAACCUUGACCCAUCAGCCCAAAUACUUAAUUAAAAGAAUUAAGUG